GCUCGGUGCAAUAGCAGGCAGCAGUCAUAUUCACUUGCAUGAAUGGCAUAUAUUGUGUUCCAAACCAAAAAGACUUAAAUGUGUGUGAGAGAAACCGCAUGGAUUGAUUGUGUGUGAAAGAAACUGCAUGGCUCAAGUGUGAAACCAUUUUUAUCAUUGUAAAUAAUCUUUGAAUUCUUUCAUGCAUGUUGAAAUUUAUAUUUUUUAAUUUAUUUUGAUGCCUCCACAACCUUUGAUGUUUUAAUUAACACUUUCUAUUCUUUUAACUUCUUUCUCAAAUCUUAACCUGUCCUCAAUUUUUGAUUUUUUAAGUUCAUUGUUUUAUAAAUCUUGCAAAAAAUAAAUUCUUUUAAAGGUUGUUGUGAGAUAAUCAUUGAUUGAAAUUGUGAGGAUUUUUACCUGUUUAUCAUGAUUAUAUUUAUGUAUGACCACUACAUGAAAUGAAGUAUAUUCAAUAAUAAAGUGUGUUUUUGUUUUUAAGGUGUUGGUAGUAGAUAGUAGUUUCUGUGACGUUUUUAACAGAAAGUCAGUUUUAAGUUUUAUAUUUUUGUAUUAGAAAUUGCAAUAAAAUUUUUAUACUU
rnacentral:misc_RNA from 1 species